CAGCAGCCGCGGUAAUACGUAGGGUGCAAGCGUUAAUCGGAAUUACUGGGCGUAAAGCGUGCGUAGGCGGCUUCUUAAGUCGGAUGUGAAAUCCCUGAGCUUAACUUAGGAAUUGCAUUCGAUACUGGGAAGCUAGAGUAUGUGAGAGGAUGGUAGAAUUCCAGGUGUAGCGGUGAAAUGCGUAGAGAUCUGGAGGAAUACCGAUGGCGAAGGCAGCCAUCUGGCCUAAUACUGACGCUGAGGUACGAAAGCAUGGGGAGCAAACAGGAUUAGAUACCCCCGUAGUCCCUGUCUCUUAUAC
rnacentral:rRNA from 1 species